CACGUAGGGUGCGAGCGUUGUCCGGAAUUAUUGGGCGUAAAGAGCUCGUAGGCGGUGUGUCGCGUCGGCCGUGAAAACCUGCAGCUUAACUGUGGGCUUGCGGUCGAUACGGGCAUCACUGGAGUUCGGCAGGGGAGACUGGAAUUCCUGGUGUAGCGGUGAAAUGCGCAGAUAUCAGGAGGAACACCGGUGGCGAAGGCGGGACUCUGGGCCGAUACUGACGCUGAGGAGCGAAAGCGUGGGGAGCGAACAGG
rnacentral:rRNA from 1 species